rnacentral:rRNA from 1 species
GGGCGUCUCGUUCUCAUUGCGAGAAGAGGCGCACCAAGAGCGUACACGCUGGGACCCGAAAGAUGGUGAACUAUGCCUGGUCAGGUCGAAGUCAGGGGAAACCCUGAUGGAGGACCGUAGCGAUUCUGACGUGCAAAUCGAUCGUCGGAACUGGGUAUAGGGGCGAAAGAC